rnacentral:rRNA from 1 species
AUUGAACGCUGGCGGCAGGCCUAACACAUGCAAGUCGAGCGAGCGGCGGACGGGUGAGUAAUGUCUGGGAAACUGCCUGUUGGCGGGGGAUAACUACUGGAAACGGUAGCUAAUACCGCAUACCAUCCGAUUUGCGCAGAUGGGAUUAGCUAGUAGGGGGGGUAACGGCUCACCUCGGCGACGAUCCCUAGCUGGUCUUAGAGGAUGACCAGCCACACUGGAACUGAGACACGGUCCAGACUCCUACGGGAGGCAGCAGUGGGGAAUAUUGCACAAUGGGCGCAAGCCUGAUGCAGCCAUGCCGCGUGUGUGAAGAAGGCCUUCGGGUUGUAAAGCACUUUCAGCGGGGAGGCGUUACCCGCAGAAGAAGCACCGGCUAACUCCGUGCCAGCAGCCGCGGUAAUAC